rnacentral:rRNA from 1 species
AACACAUGCAAGUCGAACGGUGAAGGUGGGAGCUUGCUCCUACCGGAUCAGUGGCGAACGGGUGAGUAACACGUGAGUAACCUGCCCCAGACUCUGGAAUAACCCCGGGAAACCGGAGCUAAUACCGGAUACGAGACGAAGCUGCAUGGCUAUCGUCUGGAAAGUUUUUCGGUCUGGGAUGGACUCGCGGCCUAUCAGCUUGUUGGUGAGGUAAUGGCUCACCAAGGCGACGACGGGUAGCCGGCCUGAGAGGGCGACCGGCCACACUGGGACUGAGACACGGCCCAGACUCCUACGGGAGGCAGCAGUGGGGAAUAUUGCACAAUGGGCGAAAGCCUGAUGCAGCGACGCCGCGUGAGGGAUGACGGCCUUCGGGUUGUAAACCUCUUUCAGCAGGGAAGAAGCGAAAGUGACGGUACCUGCAGAAGAAGC